rnacentral:rRNA from 1 species
ACGCUCGACACCUACGAGAGGCAGCAGUGGGGAAUAUUGCACAAUGGGGGAAACCCUGAUGCAGCGACGCCGCGUGAGUGAAGAAGUAUUUCGGUAUGUAAAGCUCUAUCAGCAGGGAAGAAGAUGACGGUACCUGAGUAAGAAGCCCCGGCUAACUACGUGCCAGUAGUCGCGGUAAUCUGAGCGGGCUGGCAAGGC